rnacentral:misc_RNA from 1 species
CGGCCAGCGCGGCUUUGACCGCUUCGUUGCCGCCGAACACGCGGUCGAGCUUCUGCGACAGCGACAAAUUCCAGUCGCGGAUCGAAGGCAGCAGAUUUCGGAGCGCGGCGACGGUUUGCAGCGGUGUCUUGAAGACAUNNNNNNNNNGCGGAGGCGAUCUGUUCCAUUUCGCCGAGCAGGCGGUUGAUGCCACCCCGGGCAUCCGGAAACCGUUCGAUCAAUACACGCCGGGCGGCAUCGAAAUUGUCGGGCAGGGCCAGCGGCGCACCGACCGGUCCGCCGCGCACUUCAUAGAAGGUGCCUGACGGAAUCCAUUU